rnacentral:rRNA from 1 species
UCCUACGGGUGGCAGCAGCUAAGAAUCUUCCGCAAUGGGCGAAAGCCUGACGGAGCGACGCCGCGUGGACGAUGAAGGCCGAAAGGUUGUAAAGUCCUUUUCUCUGUGAAGAAUAAGUGGGGGAGGAAAUGCCCUUAUGAUGACGUUAGCAGAGGAAUAAGCCCCGGCUAAUUACGUGCCAGCAGCCGCGGUAAUACGUAAGGGGCAAGCGUUGUUCGGAAGUAUUGGGUGUAAAGGGCGCGUAGGCGGCUCUGCAAGUCCGGUGUAUAAGGCUACGGCUUAACCGUGGUUUUGCGCUGGAAACUGUGGGGCUUGAGUUUAGGAGGGGGAGCUGGAAUUCCAGGUGUAGGGGUGAAAUCUGUAGAUAUCUGGAAGAACACCGGUGGCGAAGGCGAGCUCCUGGCCAUAGACUGACGCUGAGGCGCGAAAGCGUGGGGAGCGAACAGGAUUAGAUACCCGGGUAGUCAGC